UAGGGAAUCUUCGGCAAUGGGGGGAACCCUGACCGAGCAACGCCGCGUGAGUGAAGAAGGUUUUCGGAUCGUAAAGCUCUGUUGUUAAGGAAGAACGAGUGUGAGAAUGGAAAGUUCAUACUGUGACGGUACUUAACCAGAAAGGGACGGCUAACUACGUGCCAGCAGCCGCGGUAAUACGUAGGUCCCGAGCGUUGUCCGGAUUUAUUUGGCGUAAAGCGAGCGCAGGCGGUUAGAUAAGUCUGAAGUUAAAGGCAGUGGCUCAACCAUUGUAGGCUUUGGAAACUGUUUAACUUGAGUGCAGAAGGGGAGAGUGGAAUUCCAUGUGUAGCGGUGAAAUGCGUAGAUAUAUGGAGGAACACCGGUGGCGAAAGCGGCUCUCUGGUCUGUAACUGACGCUGCGGCUCGAAAGCGUGGGGAGCGAACAGG
rnacentral:rRNA from 1 species